rnacentral:lncRNA from 1 species
CUCCUAGCCUCAAGUGAUCCUCCCUCCUUGGCCUCCCAAAGGGUCAGGAUUACAGGUGUCUGAGAAUGGGAGCUGAGGCCCCAGCAAGGGACAACCACCAACACUUUGGCCCACAAUGAGGUACCCCCCUUUUUAAACAGGAGGGAUUUAAACAAGGUUUGAGUCCACUUUGGCCCACAAUGAGGGAGGUCACAACCCCACCACAGAGUCUAUUCUCAGAGAAGAGACUACUGCAUAAAGGCCAGGGGCCUGACACACACACCCGUGAGCAAGCAGAGUGGGCACGGGGACAUAUGGGAUGGCCUUUAGCUCUGUGCACACCUCCACUGCAAGUGCUAGGAGCCUGCCCCCUCACUCCCACCACACACACACACUCACCCACACAGAAACACAUUCACUCACACCUAACCAGUCCCCCAGUGAGACUGAUUCAGCCUCUUCAAUGUCUCUGGAUGCUACAGCUUUCCCUUUAUCAAGCUGACACUACCUGGCUUCAGGCCUCAUGGUCCUCCACCCAGAGUAGUGGAUCAACCUCCUCUCUGGAUCCCUGCCAUCCACGCUCCAGCCUGCAGCCAGAGGGAAUUUAUGAAAUGCAAACUACACCUCUGAUGGGAAGGGCAGAGAGAGAAUGAACUGAGGCUGUUCAAACCCGAGGGUCUGGAGCAGGCCCAGCUCCUGCAUGGAGUGCGUGGGAACUUUGGGCAACACUGACAGUGUCCUCGCCAUCAUCACUGCUGUUACUAUAAUGGCCAGCAAUAAAUGAUGAGGGGAGGGCAACCGCUUAACUCC